GCGCGAAAACUUUACAAUGCGGGACACCGCGAUAAGGGGACACUGAGUGCCAGCACCAUGUGUUGGCUGUCCGCAUGUUUAAAAAGCAUGUGUUAGCAAGGGCCGGGCAAGACCGGUGCCAGCCGCCGCGGUAACACCGGCGGCCCGAGUGGUGGCCAAUAUUAUUGGGUCUAAAGGGUCCGUAGCCGGUUUGGUCAGUCUUCCGGGAAAUCUGACAGCUCAACUGUUAGGCUUCCGGGGGAUACUGCCAGACUUGGGACCGGGAGAGGUAAGAGGUACUACAGGGGUAGGAGUGAAAUCUUGUAAUCCUUGUGGGACCACCAGUGGCGAAGGCGUCUUACCAGAACGGGUCCGACGGUGAGGGACGAAAGCUGGGGGCACGAACCGGAUUAGAUACCCGGGUAGUCCCGAGCCGUAAACGAUGCUCGCUAGGUGUCUGGGAUGGUGCGACCGUUUCAGGUGCCGCAGGGAGCCGAGAAGCGAGCCACCUGGGAAGUACGGCCGCGAAGGCUAGAAACGUUAAAGGAAUUGGCGGGGGA
rnacentral:rRNA from 1 species